GAUGAACGCUGGCGGCGUGCUUAACACAUGCAAGUCGAACGGAAAGGCUCCUGCUUGCCGGGGUACUCGAGUGGCGAACGGGUGAGUAACACGUGGGUGAUCUGCCCCGCACUUCGGGAUAAGCCUGGGAAACUGGGUCUAAUACCGGAUAGGACAGUGGUUUGGAUGCCAUUGUGGAAAGUUUUUUCGGUGUGGGAUGAGCUCGCGGCCUAUCAGCUUGUUGGUGGGGUAAUGGCCUACCAAGGCGUCGACGGGUAGCCGGCCUGAGAGGGUGUACGGCAACAUGGGGACGGAGAGCCGGCCAGGACCCCGGGGGGGGGAGGAAGGGGGGAAGUGGGAAAAAGGGGCGAAAGCCGGAUGAGGCACGGCGGGGGGGGGGAUGAGGGUCUUGGGGUUGAAACCCCUGUCCGCUAGGGACGAGGCGUUGUGGGACGGAACGUAGAAAAGAAGCACCGGCAAACUAGGUG
rnacentral:rRNA from 1 species